AGCAGGAUGGAGCAGAAAGGUAGCUCGUCGGGCUCAUAACCCGAAGGUCGUAGGUUCGAGUCCUACUCCUGCAA
rnacentral:tRNA from 2 species